AGUGAACUCUGGCGGUAGGCCUACCCCAUUUACUUCGAACGCCAGCUCAGUUCGAGCUUGCUCUUACGGAUUGCGCUUGGCGGACGGCUGCCGCCUUCAUCCGAACUUACUUUUUCGUGGGAGACAACCUAGAGACACUUACGCUAAUACCCCCUCCGCCCUUCGGGUGAACCCACCUGCUCUUCGAACCUUCCCCUCUUGAGUCAGCCGACAUCGGAUUAGAUAGUCGGCGGUGUCAAGGCCCAACAAGGCGACGCUCCAUAGCUGGUCUGAGAGGAUGAUCAGCCACACUGGGACUGAGACACGGUCCAGACUCAUACGGGAGGCAGAAGUGGGGAAUAUAGGACAAUGGGCGCAAGCCUGAUCCAGCAAUACCGCGUGGGUGAAGAAGGCCUUCGGGUUGUAAAGCCCUUUUGUUGGGAAAGAAAAGCAGCAGGUUAAUACCCGGCUGUUCUGACGGUACCCAAAGAAUAAGCAACGGCUAGCUACGUG
rnacentral:rRNA from 1 species